ACGUGAGUAGCUCAACUGGCAGAGCAGCGGUCUCCAAAACCGCAGGUUGGGGGUUCGACUCCCUCCUCACGUG
rnacentral:tRNA from 1 species